rfam:Salmo salar isolate Sally breed double haploid chromosome ssa26, whole genome shotgun sequence.
CCUACUUCCUCCUGUAAGUUGCUCUGGAUAAGAGCGUCUGCUAAAUGGCUAAAA